rnacentral:misc_RNA from 1 species
GAAAUGCGAUAAGUAGUGUGAAUUGCAGAAUUCAGUGAAUCAUCGAAUCUUUGAACGCACAUUGCGCCCCUUGGUAUUCCAUGGGGCAUGCCUGUUCGAGCGUCAUCUACACCCUCAAGCUCUGCUUGGUGUUGGGCGUCUUUGUCCCGCCUCCGUGCGCGGACUCGCCCCAAAUUCAUUGGCAGCGGUCCUUGCCUCCUCUCGCGCAGCACAUUGCGCUUCUCGAGGUGUUGCGGCCCGCGUCCAGAAAGCAAUCGUUACCGUCUUUGACCUCGGAUCAGGUAGGGAUACCCGCUGAACUUAAGC